GACGAACGCUGGCGGCGUGCUUAACACAUGCAAGUCGAACGAAGUGGCGAACGGGUGAGUAACGCGUAAUCAACCUGCCCUUCAGAGGGGGACAACAGUUGGAAACGACUGCUAAUACCGCAUACUGAAGGAGGGGAUUGCGUCUGAUUAGCUAGUUGGAGGGGGAACGGCCCACCAAGGCUAUGAUCAGUAGCAGUUCUGAGAGUAUGGACAGCCACAUUGUGACUUAGACACCGCCCAGACUCCUACGGUAGGCAGCAGUGUGGAAUCUUCCGCAAUGGACGGAAGUCUGACGGAGCAACGCCGCGUGAGUGAUGACGGCCUUCAGGUUGUAAAGCUCUGUUAAUCGGGACGCGGUACCUGAAUAGAAAGCCACGGCUAACUACGUGCCAGCAGCCGCGGUAAUUC
rnacentral:rRNA from 1 species